rnacentral:rRNA from 1 species
GACGUAGGGCGCGAGCGUUGUCCGGAUUUAUUGGGCGUAAAGAGCUCGUAGGCGGCUUGUUGCGUCGGCUGUGAAAACCCGCAGCUCAACUGUGGGCUUGCAGCCGAUACGGGCAGGCUUGAGUUCGGUAGGGGAGACUGGAAUUCCUGGUGUAGCGGUGAAAAUGCGCAGAUAUCAGGGAGGGAAACACCCGGGUGGGCGAAAGGGCGGGGUCUCUGGGGCCCGAUACUGACGCUGAGGAGCGAAAAGCGUGGGGGGAGC